UUGUUUGCUCUUUUCACAGAUAGACCCAAACCUGUAGUGCGUGUUCAGCCUGAUGUUUGUGUGUUCAGAGGAGAGAUGGUCACUUUCACAUGUGACAUACAGGAGACAGGAGUCUGGCAGUACAACUGGUAUAAAAAUCGAGAUUACAGCAGAUAAAAGACCAGAUCUAUUACAGCAGAGGACAAGACCAGAACUAUAAAAUCACAUAUGUGGAUUGGUUUCAUGCUGGUGUGUACAGCUGUAGAGGAACCCAGACUAAAGCCCCACAGUACUCACAGUUCAGUGACGGAGUUACACUGACAGUAUCAGAUUCACCCAUAUAUACACUGACUGUGACACCAGACAGAUCUGUAUUCACUGGAGAGACAGUCAGUCUGAAGUGUGUGAUAGAGACUUACAGUAACUGGAUCUGGAGAAAUUACCAGACAUAUGACAGGAGAGAAUGGACACUUGAGUGGAAAUAUAAGUGGUAUAAAGGCAGCAAAGACAGUGUGUUACAGAAGUCUGUGCAUUACACUGUAAACGGAGACACUCUCAGUAUUGUUGGAGCUGUUACAUCUGAUCAGGGUCAGUACUGGUGUAGAGGACUGAGAGAUGGAAGACCAAACUCAUCACAAUCAGCUCAGUUUCUCUCUCUGUGAAGGAUUUACCCACACCUACACUGACUGUGACUCCAUACAGAUCUGUAUUCACUGGAGAGAGAGUCAAUCUGAAGUGUGUGAUAAACUCUGAUCGCAGUGACUGGAGAUAUGAGUGGAAUAAAGACAGUUCAAUGUUACAGACGUCUGAGCGUUACACUGUAAACAGAGACACUCUCAGUAUUGUUAAAGCUGUAGUGUCUGAUCAGGUUCAGUACACGUGUAAAGGACAUAUAGAUGGAAGAUCAGUUUCAUCACAAUCAAGCUCUGUUUCUCUCUCUGUGAAGGGUGAGUUUAACAUCACUGUGCUCAUAAACUCUCUCUACAUGAUCAUGAUCACAGCCAAUCAAGAGUCUUUUUUUCAUUCACACUGAUGAUAAAAAAUGCUUCAAAUUUAAAAUGCAUUUUUUACUUGAAGUGUGACCUUAAAAAUACAACAUUCAUGGCAAGAGUUCUGAU